rnacentral:rRNA from 1 species
AUUGAACGCUGGCGGCAUGCUUUACACAUGCAAGUCGAACGGCAGCACGGGAGCUUGCUCCUGGUGGCGAGUGGCGAACGGGUGAGUAAUGCAUCGGAACGUACCCAGUAGUGGGGGAUAGCCCGGCGAAAGCCGGAUUAAUACCGCAUAUUUCCUGAGGGAGAAAGCGGGGGGACCUUCGGGCCUCGCGCUACUGGAGCGGCUGAUGUCGGAUUAGCUAGUUGGUGAGGUAAGGCUCACCAAGGCGACGAUCCGUAGCUGGUCUGAGAGGAUGAUCAGCCACACUGGGACUGAGACACGGCCCAGA